AUUGAACGCUGGCGGCAUGCCUUACACAUGCAAGUCGAACGGUAACGGGCCUUCGGGUGCCGACGAGUGGCGAACGGGUGAGUAAUACAUCGGAACGUGCCCGAUCGUGGGGGAUAACGAGGCGAAAGCUUUGCUAAUACCGCAUACGAUCUACGGAUGAAAGCAGGGGACCGCAAGGCCUUGCGCGGACGGAGCGGCCGAUGGCAGAUUAGGUAGUUGGUGGGAUAAAAGCUUACCAAGCCGACGAUCUGUAGCUGGUCUGAGAGGAUGAUCAGCCACACUGGGACUGAGACACGGCCCAGACUCCUACGGGAGGCAGCAGUGGGGAAUUUUGGACAAUGGGCGCAAGCCUGAUCCAGCCAUGCCGCGUGCAGGAUGAAGGCCUUUGGGUUGUAAACUGCUUUUGUACGGAACGAAAAGCCUUCUUUUAAUACAGGAGGGUCAUGACGGUACCGUAAGAAUAAGCACCGGCUAACUACGUG
rnacentral:rRNA from 1 species